CGAUUUUAAUAGAAAAAGAAACAAAAGCUCGGGUUAAGUUUUUGACCGGAUUCUCUUUUUGUGCCGAUCGGCUCAUUUCUCCUCAAAUCAGAUAAAAGAUUGUCCUUUAUUUCCACCCCGCCCCCCACCCUAAAAAGAUCAAUAUGUCUUUUAAUCCAUCAUACAAUGGAUGGGGCUUCAAUUAUUCAAUUAUCAAUUAUCCUUUAAUGGCUAAUUGACACCAUUCCUUUAAUAAUAUAAACAUAGGAGACACCAAAGAGAAAGUAAAAUACAAUUGAAGUUGAUGGGCAUAUAUAGUCGUAUGCAUGUGCACAUAAUAAAUACAAAUAUAUAUAUAUUUUACAUUUUGAUAUAUUCGGAACCAUCCCUCACCCCCCAAAAAACUAAACAUGUUGUAAUAUAUAAAAUGGAUGACUUGAUGGAAAAUUUAAGAAAUAAAUGGCAAUGUUCGUUUUUAAAGACUGUUGCCACUGAAGAAUUAAAGAGGCAUCACGAUCCUAAAGGGGCCCAAUAAAAUUGUGCGUGCGCCCAUGUGUACUUAGGGGCGUACAUUUAUUUGAAAUAAUCCUUUAAGGGGCCUCAACGGAAUCAUUUAAAAAAAUAAACAGGCAAUUUCGGACCAUUUUGUGAUGUCAAAUGUUGAUGAGACACCCUAAAAAAAAUCUAAAUGAAAUAAGUGUCACUGUGUUGAAGGCCGCGAGUGGAGCCUGACUGGUGGCGGUUCCCCGGGGGAAUGGGGGGGGGGGGGAGUCAUGGCCGGGGGAGAUAAACUGCGAGGCUAUCGGCUUGUGGUCACACGCGCACAUCAGAUAAAUAAAUAAAGGAGCGGCAUUAACGGCGACACGCUAUCACGGAGCACAUUCGCAGCAGCUCCCCAAACGGCGGCAGUGGACCCCUUGGUGACCAAGCCCGACUAUGAAUAAAUGACAUCACCCCCAAAAGUCUUCAUGCUGUCUGUCGCCCAUUCAGCGUGGGCUACGUCGGGCCGGCAUGAUCCUUAGAGAGGCGAUGCUUUCCCGCGUCAUGAGCCGGGUCACCUGGUCCAGACUGAGCCCUGCCACCAUUUCCCCAUUCACCUGAACAAUCUCGUCACCCACGCCCAGGAGACCCACGUAGGGCACGUCACCAGUUCCGUCGCCCACUUUCUCUACAUAAACACCUGGAGGAACAAAUUGAGAGGUCUGCCUUUGCCCCUUGAGAUAACGAAACCAAAGGGCCCAUUUGGGGGUCUGAUGAGCUCCAGGAGAAGAGAGCCAUCAGGAAAAGCCUGAGAAACCCUCCCCGCCGGCCGCACCACCCUGGAGGGGAUUACGUCUUCAACACUCAGGGUCCGGUGGAGGUCCAGUCGGGGGCUGUCAGGACUGCAGUCGAAAAGGGUCUGCAACGACGGCGUCCUCUGUAUGCGGAUGGUGGGAUGCGGUCUGCGUGUGGGGCUCGGGGAGGUGGUGUUGGACCUGCUGGUGGGAAUGCUGAGCUGUUCCAUGCUACUGGAACGGCCUCCCUUCACCAGUCUGCCGACGCCGUUGAGGCCGAUGGAGGAAAAGAAGCGACGUAAGAAAAGCUUUGGUCGCCCAUCCAGCUUCCUGUAAAAACACAGGUACACAAAAGUAGGAUGUACAAAAAAAAUAUGUAAAUAUGUAAAAUUAAACUUUAAAUGUUGAACGGGUGUCAUUUGCGGUAAAACAAGAUGGAAAAUAUUUUGUAAUGAGGUAGUUACAUUUCUCAUCCCUUGACACUAAUAUAUGUCUCAUCAUAACACAUAAGUAGCCUUUAAAAUCAUUAAUUUCUACUAGUUUUGAACAUAAGUCAAGAAUAACUCUUUCCUGUGUUAAAAUGUUGCUUUCAAAUUGUCUGAAUGCUUCUUCAGGAGUUAGUGUUGGAAAUUAGAGCCUUCAAUAAAUGAAUUCCCAAACAAACUACGUUUGAUUUUGGAGGUUCAAUUUCCUGAUGAAUUCUGCAAUUAUAUUUUAUUUCCACAAGAGGGCAGCAUUGCUUUCAUUCUUUUUCACAAUGGCAUUCUGUUGACUCUAUACCCUGUUUGUGGCGUCCAAUCAGUAUUUAUUAAGCCCUCCACACUGACUCUGAAAUGUAAUGAGCAUGCCGUUGAUUGUUUUUAGAAAUGGAAGGCAUCUUGUAUAUUCGUUUCUCACAUCUAAGCUAUGACC